rnacentral:rRNA from 1 species
AAAUGAAUGACGGGGCCGCACAAGCGGUGGAGCAUGUGGUUAAUUCGACGCAACGCGAAAACCUUACCUGGGCUUGACAUGCUGGUAGUAGUGAACCGAAAGGGAAACGAUCCUGAGCAAUCAGGAAGCCAACACAGGUGCUGCAUGGCUGUCGUCAGCUCGUGUCGUGAGAUGUUGGGUUAAGUCCCGUAACGAGCGCAACCCCUACCUUUAUUUGCCAUCAUUUAGUUGGGCACUCUAAAGGAACCGCCUCGGUCAACGGGGAGGAAGGUGGGGAUGACGUCAAGUCCUCAUGGCCUUUAUGCCCUGGGCUACACACGUGCUACAAUGGUUGGUACAACGAGUUGCGAGUCGGUGACGGCGAGCUAAUCUCUUAAAGCCAAUCUCAGUUCGGAUUGUAGGCUGCAACUCGCCUACAUGAAGUCGGAAUCGCUAGUAAUCGCGGAUCAGCACGCCGCGGUGAAUACGUUCCCGGGCCUU